UUCGAUACUUGACUUUCAGUAUUUUCGUUUACAAUAAUUGUGUACAUCAUAAAACAAGUAGUUCUGUAAAUGUAGACUGUUGUGACGGCGGUAGUGUAUUUGUCAUGUAUGUCGUGUUCAGGUAUUACAAGGUGUAGUUAGUUAAACUUAAUGUUUUCGAAUGAGGUAUACAGUAGAAAAUGACAUUAUGGCUACGAAAUAUGUUGGGAGGAGCUGAUAAAAAAUGUUUUUUAUAGGCAGUACUGUCAUGUUACAGAACAAGAGCUCGAAACGUAGUGGAAUGAAGGAUAAGUAGGAACACCGUGGUUAACCAUGGCCGGAGUUCAUCCAGAAAACGAGGAACGGUUGAAUUGGAUAGAAUUCUGUGACAGGCAUGCAAAAACUGCAGCUACUGACUUUGCUAAAGCUUUUUGUACCUAUGUCAGUUCUAACCUCCCAGAAAAUGCAAGGAACACAGUGUCACAUCGUGAUUUCGUCCGUAAAUUUGUUGACUAUUUUGUAGAACAUUUUGAAGCAGAAUUUACAAAGAAGAAUCUUACAAAUCACAAGGAUAAGAUUGUGAAUGGGAACAACAUUGUCACUUCUGGCACCACAAAUCCAUCAGCUCCCCGAGCAAAUAGCCAUGAAGAAUUCAGUGAUUAUUCAGAGCAUGAAGCGGAUUCCUCAUCCCCAAAAACUCUUCAUAAACCAUUCUUCCGUAGGCUUUCAUUUAAAGGGCUGAAGAAAGGAAAAGGUUUUUUUCACAAACAGCAUUCAGAUGAACUUGAAUUGUCAUCACAUCAUGACAGAUAUUCAAAACAUGACAAACAUUCCAAAACGAAAUUGGCAAAGAUUGUUGUUGAGUGUAGAAAAGAGGGAAUUGUUAACUACUUGAUGGGUGAGAAUAUAGAUGGCACACAAAAGUGGGAGAAGUGUCGGCUGGCCUUAGUAAAAACUGUAGGUGGCUAUAUGUUGGAGUUCUAUUCUCCCCCGAAGGCAGUGAAACCCAAAAGUGGUGUGUUUUGUUUCUUGAUCACAGAAGCAAGGGAAACUACAGCCUUGGAAAUGCCUGACCAUGAAAAUACAUUUGUUCUGAAAGCUGAAAACAACAUGGAGUAUGUAAUAGAAGCUCAUGACACUGAUGAUAUGCGAUCAUGGCUGGCAACCAUCAAGUACUGUAUGAGAACCAUGCUUCCAAGUCAAGAUGGGAGUAGGAGUUUGCCUGCAGGUGGCAGUGAGGGGGAUAGGCUGCGAGGCCUUGUAGAACGAGGGGGAAACAAACCCUUAGAGGCAGGUGCUGAAGUAGGUGCUGUAGGAGGUCUGGAACAUCCACCGGAACUUCCUCCAAGACUGCAGGGUACAGCAGUGCCUCGAACUGCAGGCAGCGACACACCAGGCCUCAGAUUAUCGAGUAACAGCAAUUUUGAGCUGUGCACAUCCCAUCCUGAACUGGAACAAGUUGUUACAGAGCCAGAAUUGGAUCUUUCAACUUCAUUACGUGAGUACCCAUGGUUCCAUGGGACUUUGCCUCGUUCAGAUGCUGCUCAGUUGGUGCUACAUGAAGGGGCAACAGGUCAUGGUGUAUUUCUUGUGCGACAGAGUGAGACACGGAAGGGUGAAUUUGUGCUCACUUUUAAUUUUCAGGGGAAAGCAAAACACCUCCGAAUGACGUUGAAUGACCAGGGCCAGUGCCGAGUACAGCACCUGUGGUUUCCAACAAUUUUUGACAUGUUAGAACACUUUCGUCAGCACCCAAUUCCAUUGGAAUCCGGAGGAACUGCAGAUGUGACUUUGACUGAGUUUGUGGUAGCAGCCAUCAUGCCACCGACAGGUGGACGAGGAAGCUCUACAGGUGGACAGCCGACAGGUACUGAGGCUAGGAGGCCGGCAGCACCACCCGAACCUCGAGAGGUGUGAGUCCGCGCUGUGGUCGAUACAAUUGGUGCCUCUAACUUUGGACUUGAUAAUUCCCAUCACAAACUUCUUGGUGCCAGCUGUGAAGAACUAUUUUGGUUGCUCCUGCAGCCAUGCCUGUAUUGCUUUAUUUCAUCAUUGCAUGUGAAUCAGUGGUCUUUGGUAGUAUAAUCAAAUGGUGAAAGAUUCUGAUUUUAACUGAUGAGUGUUUCAUUUAUUAAUGACACUGUAUUGUCAUGAAGCAUGAAAACACCCUCAAAGAGUCUGCAUGUUUAUUUAGUUUCAGUUUGUAAUACAGCAUGAUGUAGCAUCGCAUCCACUAGGUCCAGCCCUUUAUAAUUCUAGAAAAAUUCAGCAUCAAUUUGUUGGCAGAAUCUUGAGUCUAAAACUCUUUUGUGAGUUUGGGUGCUUAUACUCAAGGUUCUAGCAUUUUUCUUACGUGUAUAGUGAUGCACUAUUGAUGAGAGAAAAGAAUAUACUUGUGCAUGUAGAGUGUAGGUAUACUGAGUUUUAUCAAAGUUGGCCGGUGGUCUAGGCUGUGUUACUCGUUGAUGAAGAUGCUACAUGCUCCCAGCAUGUGAAGGUCAUGUUCAGCUGCAGUCUCUUUCAGCUAGGAUUUGGAGAUAUCAAAAAUUAAUUUUGUUGCCUUACCAUAUGGGCAGAGGCUAGGAAGGCAAUAAGACCAAACUUAUAAACAUGAUUAUUAUAGUAUAAGCUGUACACAUGAAGAAAGUCAGUAGAUACCUUAAGAUACCAUUGUAAUUCCCAAAGGGAAGGAAGGGGUAGAGUUGAGAAGAAAUCCAAAGGAAUGCCUGUAUGAGUUGUGUUGUAGUAACGAUUCGAUUCUGUUUUACAUUAACAGCAUAUGUUUGACAGUACUUUGAUUAUAUUCUUACAGCAGUAAUUUUCUAAUCAUUUCCAGUAAUAAUUAAUUAUGAAAUAAAUCUUCGAGAAAGUAAUGAUUGGCCAUUCCUGAGGCUGUAAACUUAUUUGUGACCAUCUUACAGAGUUUUGUAUAAAGAUUAAUAAUUGUAAUUUCAUUAAAAUAGAUUGCUACUGGCUGAAAUAUACAGUGAAUAUUCUAUUAAAACUAAAUAUGUGAGUCUACCCUAAUCCAGAACAAGAAAUGUGUGUAAGAAGUUUGAAAUUCUCAAAAUUUCUGUAUUUCUUGUUGGUUCUAAUAGGCAUUUAGCAGUAACCUUUUCAAUAGCAUGCCCUAAAAAACUUUAUGAUUUACUUGCAGUGUAUUCUGUAACCGCUACAUUUAGUAGCAAUAGCAGUGCCAUAGGCUACACAUUAUUUUUCCACAUUACAGAAGAAUGUAUCUGAUGCGGCAAGUAUUCAGUUUUAUUUUACUGUGUUGAAGUUUAAAUCCAGUUGAUAUCCAGAAUCUGAUUAAGAUGCCAUUAAUACAGUUUGGAAUUUGAAGUUCACUUCAAGUCUGGUUUAGUGGCUUAAAUGUGUAUGUCAUUCAUACAGUUUCUUGAUACAUAGAUCUCAUGAAGUUGAUAAUCACUCAUCUGUCAAGAAAUUUUCCACCUUUUAUGAAACUAGUGUUUAUCACAUUUACAAAAACUUAUCAUUGGACCUAUCCCAAGCCAGUUGAAUCCAGUCCACGCACUCAUACCAUGUUUGUUUAAGAUCUGUGUACAUAUUAUCCUGUCAUCUACAUCUGUGUCUCCAAAGAAGUUUAUUCUCUUCAGGUUUUCUCAUGUUUUAUAUGCAUUCUGCUUCUAUCUGUUCAUGCUAAAUGUACUGUGCAUCUCAUUCUCCCUGAUUUGAUAAUCCUAAUAAUAAUGUUUGGUGAAGAGUACAAAUUAUAUAGCUUUUUACUUUCUGAUUCACUCCAAUUUUCUUUUACUCCUGUCUCUUAGGUCCAGAUAUUUGCCCUUAUGGUAAGAAACUGUAUUUUAUACCCAUAUAAGACAGUGUAUAAAAUUAUUAUACUUGCAUAUAUUUUAUAUAUUGCAUAUAUUUAUUAGGUUUUUACAUUUUUAUGUGCAUAAUUAACAUUAUGUUACAGAAUUAAAAUUAGUUAUUUGUCUGUAGUUCUAAUAAUGGGUAAUAAAGGCAAAAUAUUUAAACUAUAAUGGAUAGUUGAAAUGUACUGGUAUGUUAGCUCAUCAUUCUUAUUAUACAUGGCUAAUGAAAGGAAAAUUGUAUUAAUUAUGAAAUACAUAUGUAAGCUGAACAUUCGUCUUUCAGGUGAUUAUACAUGGAGGCACAAUUCGAAUGCGUACUGAGUCGAUGGAACGGCUGCAAGAAAGGCAGAGCGGUUUGGGUGGAAGAGCCGUCGAAAACACUUACAGCUUUGUAUGAUGAGAAAGAGAUGUGGAGAAAUGACCUUCCAAUAGAAAUUUAUUUAUUAAAUUAUUACAAGUAUCCAAAACAGUUGCAGAGUUCAAAGAAAAUUACACUGCAUAUACUUUGUUAUACUUUUGGGGUACAGCCUUCAACCAAAGUUCUUGAUAAUGGGUUAAUGUGAAGCCAAAUGUGAGAGGCUGCAGAGAAUCAGACCUUGAUUCAUUUUAACGUAAAUCUGAAUAAAAAUAUGUGAACCCAUUUAUAGUGAUCUACUUCAGCAAUCGUACUUUCAAACACAGAAUGCCAUGAGACAAAUAUCAAAAUUUGGUUCAUUAUGGAUUUUCUUUGUUCUUUACCGGAAUUACAAAUAUCCCACAAGGUGACAGCACUGUGACAUUACAAAUUUGACUUAAUAUGUAGCAGAAUGUUUGGUACCACAGUUUUAUUUCUAUUGAAACUGGAUUGUUGCCAAUGACCAUGUAGUUUGGAAAGCAAAGUAUGUUGAGUGAAUGGGUUCAUUUUGUUCAUAUAAAUAUACAUUUCAUGUCAAGAGUGAUUAUAAAGUAAUCCCAAUUAUUGCUUUACACACAUGCUGCUAGAUGCAUUAUAUUAAGGGAACUGAAUAUUGAGUUAGCUUACAGCUAUUUAGCAGAUCUCAGACCUUGCCUUGGAUUUUUUUUACAGCUAUUCAUAACUGAUAGGAAAGUAUUGUCUUUUCACUCUUCACAGCAAUAACAUACUCUUGUAUUUGAGUUUGGUCAUUUUCUGGUGCUUUGUCUGGACUUAACAUACCCGCCCUAGGUCAUAUUGUAACAUGUAAGAAGACAAGGGUUUUACUUUUAGAAUGAAAUUUUGGCAUGUAGUUUUCUCCGCUGUUACUAGAUGGUGCAUGUACCCAUUGUUUGUGAUUCCUGGAACAUAUGUUAAUUGUUUUGCUAUUCAUUUUUUAACAUGACACCAUGCAGAUCGUUUGAGUAUGCAGGUCUGUAAAUUAUACAUGAAUUACCGCAUGUUUUGAUGCAUUACACAGUGAUUUUUGUUAAAAUUUGUAAUGUAUAUACACUAUUUCCUUUUGUGGGCAAUGGUUGGUUCCAUGCCAUUAGUAUAUUUUAGUUGUUCAUUGUUUUUUGAUUUGUUAUGUGUGUCUGUACUAUGUUAAGUUGAUUGUUCCAUGUCACACAACUCCAAAAGCAUCCAGAACAGCUGAAAUAUAUCAUUGGCACAGAACCAGCUAUUGUCCACGAAAGGAAAUAUUGUAUAGAUUUUAUAGAUUUAAAUAAGAAAAAGAUUGUAAUGCAUCAAAACGUGUAAUAACUUAACAUGUAAUUUACAGAGCUUGUGGUGACUCAUUGUAAUUAAAAACAUAUAUUCUAGCAGAAAAUUGACAUUUCACAAUAGUGUAAAAAAUGUUUUAACAUGGGGGGUGUUUAUAAAGCAAUGGUUUAUUCAACAUGAAAACAUAAAGAAGUAUAAUAUCUGUUCCUUUUGGCACAUAAACCUUGAUUAUUUCACACAAAAUGUGGCCUGUGGUGAUGGGAUGUGUUUAUGAUAUAGCGUGAUGGGCCUGUAGGGAUAGACUAAGAAUGCAAUGGGUUAACAGUAAUGUGAAGAGUAUUGUUUUCUAUAGCAAGGAUAAAUUAUGUUCCAUCUCAGCAUCUUAUCCCUAGAGAACCACAGGUUCUUGUACAAGAAUUGUUUAAUAUUUUAUGAUCACUCUAGUCAUAAAUUGUUUAUUUUCAGUUUUCUCUUUAUUUCACUGCAACCUGAUAUGUCACAGUGUGAUUCAAGUUUUUGAGUGUAAAGUUGAAUUUUUAUUAGCAUUGUGAACAUGUUAAAUAUGUAGAACAUACAUCACAGCAGUCUCUAUAUGCAUUAUUUGGGAAAUAAUAAAUGAUACAAACAAGCAAAAGAAGUUUUGUCACAACUUUUACUUCAGGGUGUAGGAAAUCUUCCUGUUAUGGUUUCAGACAUGACACUUAUGACUCAGAUUUUAUAUUUUUACAGAAUAUGUACAAUAUAUAUUUUAUCCAAUUUUGUUGAUUCAUAUUGAGACUGUUGGAAUUUGCAUGAUAGGAUAAGAAAACAAGAUAACAUAACACACACACUCUCAUAUUUGGUCUGUUGGCUUUCGUACUUUGUUAUAAGUUUUGGCUUCAGCAGUGCUUGUGUCUUUUUCCCCCUCCCCCUUGCUUAAACCCUGCCAGUAUUUUUUGUUAUAGGAGUCGCUGGUUUGCUGAAUGCCAACUCAUUUACUGCCAGCCAGUGGAUGGCACUGAAUAGUGUAAUGAAACAGUAUUAUUAAUGUCAUCAUGCCUCGUCUAAGCACCAUGUUUGUUUCAUCCUCAUUGUUUAUAUAUGAAAUUUCCUUGCUUUAUUGAUAUAUUUAUUACUACAAUCUAUAUUCUCCAAGAUACCUAUAAAACAUAUUUUUCCACAUUCUCUUCAUGAUUUUCAGUAUCUUCGCUAUCUCUUGCACUUGUGUUUCGGAAGUGAAGCUCUCUUGUUUAUACUCUGCCAUUGAGUUUAUGCAUUUUUUAAUGUAUGGUGAAAAAUAAUGUAUAGAUAAUGCCCAGUGAAAUAAUAGAGGACAGGGCAUUCAAUAGAAGAAGAGAAAAGCUGUAUUGAAAUUGUAAUUAGCACAACAGACAUUUUUAUUACAGCCAGUAAAGAUAGUCUUUACUGCUUGAAGUAAAGUAAUCAGUGCAAACAGUGUACAUAUCAGUUAAAAGCAUAGUCUUUGAAAGACAUCAGUUUAGAAAUAAAGCAAGAUGGGAAAAGUCAGAGCAUUUACAUGAUAGAAGGAUCUACAAAUAGUAACAUCUUUAGGCAGCCGCUUCCUAAUGAUGGAGGCAGAGAAGGUUUCCAAAACAUUCGACUUCUGUUCUGAAUUUACACAAUUAGUAACCUGAGAAGAUUUUAUUGCAUUCAGUCAUUGUGAAAGUGUCAAGUCUUAUCUAAUUACAGACAUUACAAAUUUAAAAUGUGUGUCAACAUGACUUCUGUGUCAGAAGUUAAAAUAAGUGCUCAGACUUCUCCUCUCCCAUAAUUCUAUACAUUACAUAUCAGAUUAGCUGUUACUACUGGAUAGAAAGAAACGGCUUUUGUAAUAUCCAGCAUAUAACAGAGAUGCUCUUUCCCACAACCUCAUGGGGCCUGUUAUGAGAAUAAGGUAUGUGUUUGAGCUCAGUGGCCCAAGUGCAUGUAUCCAUUGUAUAACAUUGCUCAAAUGUUACAAAGAAAAAUGUCACUUCUUAAAUUGUCUCAUGUGCCAAAUCAUCUGUUUCAAAGCCUAAGUUAGAAGUGACUAUACUUUCUGUAGUAAGGUGUAGUGAGGUAGUCGAGAAACUCUUACAAUUGCCAUACAUUUCAGAGAGGACCACUGAUAGGAAAUAUUUAAUGUAAUCUGCUUUUUAUAACUAAUCAGGAAGACAAGCCUGCCUGCUCAUGGCCAGUGGUUCCCAAACUAUGUUCCCUGCCCUGGACUGAGAUGUUCUGCUACCAAAAUUAAGUAAUGGCAAUUUGUUCUCAAUCUGCAAUUUUUCUCUUGAGAUGUUCAUGUCAUAUUUUCUUCUAGUAAUAUUCCUAAUCAGAAUAAUGACUUCAAAAAUCACAUUUUUAUGGUGUUCUGUGGAGAACACCAUGAUACCUGUAUACUCUGUGAACUAGUUUUAGAACCAUUACUGCGGGCAGUCACACUUAGCUUGACAGGUCACUUGUUGGUGGCCAGAGGUGUUAGUUCCUUUUCAUCAAAGUUCCUCCUUAUAAAGCAACAGAGCAUUAUCUGUUCUUGCCACCUCAAAGAAGAUAGUGCCACAAGCACACCUGAUUAGCAGUAAAAACAUUUUGAAUAUGUAAUUUUCAAAGCAGUGACAAAGAUUUCUUCCUGUGGGUUUUGGUCCAUUUUCCAUUAUUUCGCAUUCUCUAAAUUCUCUUCUUAUUUACAGCUUCAUCUGUGGGUUACAGCUUAAGUUGAGGAUUGGGUUUCUAUCUUAGUGGGGAUUUUCAAAGUCCAUGUAGGAGGAAUCCUUGGAUGGAGACCAUCUCAAAAGUCCAUACCAUCAUAAAAUAAUUCUUAAAAACAUGAUCAUGCACACCCUGAGCAUGAUUAAGAUUUUAAAUCCCAGUGCUAGAGCAGCCUAUGACUAUUAUUAGUAUUUUUGGUAUGACAUAAUUAAAUAAACACUGGUGUUUGAAAUAUUUUAAUUGUGAAAUUUGCCCUCUGGUAGCUUAGAUUUAUGUGUGCACCAAAAAUAUGUGCUGCUUACUGAAAGAUAUGCAGUAGGCAUGAAAUAUUCUUCUCCAGUGUUUCUUAGGGUGGGUGACUGUUUAUUAUGUAAAACACUGCAUUCUAUAAUGUACAGGACGUGUGUGUAGUUUUAUAUACUAUUGAAGUGUGUUUUCCAGUAUGAAUCAUGUGUGAAAUGUGGAUCUCCUGGAAAGAGUCAGAGAACAUUUUAAUGGUAAGUUUCCUGGGAUCACAGUUUCAAGCACAUCUGGCAUCCAUAAACUUAUUAGGAAAGUCAGGUGUAUUGGGUAACUUCUGGACAAGAAACCUGCUAAAAAUGCAGUGUGCUUAACUAAGAAAAACUAGAUGGAAUAAGAUCUAGAGCAGAACACACAACAGAAUCAUUGAGACAUCUUCUACAGGAGACCAACAUCUUGGAAUCAUCAGCAGCCAAAGUGGUGAAGCAGUGAAUUUCAGCCUAUUUAAAUGUUACAGAGAGUGUGUGCAUGUACAGGGACAUCAUUGUCAUCAUCUCUCAUAAUAUAGGUAAGUUUAUUCAUUGUCUGUAUGGAGCGAUACUUGACUCAUCAGGAAAAUCUUGUGGUGCUUGGUGGUGAGUCACGCAGUUCCUGCCAGGAAGACAGUGCAUGUGACUGUUAGCGAAUGCACUGUAGAUACUAUAUAACCAGAAUUUGAUUUUUCAUUUAAUUUUUGCAUUAUAUUUUGUAAGUAUAACUCAUUAUCUUAUACAUGUUUUACAUUCCUCAGAUAUGUCUUUUCACAGUUUGUACAGGAAGAUAGAUUUGGUGUAUUCAUUAAAAGGAUAAGAAUUAUGAAGCAUGUGUUUAUCUACAAAGUCUAAUUUUUAUUUUAAUUGUAUAUUUACAUGUUUUCACAUAACAUGUAGACUCAACUCAUUUGUUCAUACCAACAUUUAUUAUUGCAGUGUGGAAGUACAAUAUGUUUUUUUCAAAACAGUAAUACACCACUGAAUUUAAGUAUGCAUAUAUUCAAGGUCUGACAUUUAAAUAAUUAAAUUUAUUGUAGAGAAAUAUUUAUUAUUGUCAUUGGCCUUUAGUGAAUGUUGUCACCUUCAAAUAAUUCUAUUCUUACAUAUAUACAUUCCAGUGCCUGGAAUCAUUGCUGGAAAUCAUUUUUCAAAUGUAUUUUCUGUACUGUUGUGACAUUGCUUGGAAAGUAUUCUAAGCUUUAAAAUGAGACCCUUUCGAGGACACUGUUUAAUUGAAUGGUAGAUUAGGUUUGUGGUAGUUGUGUCUAUUCCUUGUUCUGUUUUUGUCGAUUACAGUUUGGAAAACAUGAAAAAGCCUUAUGGGGCCAGAUCAAUCAAGUAUAGUGGAUGUUCAAACAUUGUUAUUGUCUUCAGGUCAAAUAUCACCUUACCAAAAGUGCUGUGUGGAGGGUUUACUGUCAUGAUAAAAAAUCCACUUGUCCAACUAUUUGUCAUGAUGACUGGAUUUUCUCUUGAAACUUCAGCUUUAUGUUUCUAGGUCAUACCAUAAGACCAAAGUGUAAUCACCAGUAUCUGUUUUAUAAAAAAAAUUUGGUGUGUUCCAGAGUGAGCAGAAAUGUUUUUCUAGUUAUUUUAUGCUUGCUGCUGAAAUAUGUCAAUGUCAUCUUCACACAGACUUCUCAUCAUUUUCAGAUUUUUGGUCAGUAUUAAUCUCAUAGUUACUCUAUUUGUGUCAGUUCUUCUAUUUCCAAACAAUCACCUAAUGAUUAUUGCUUAUCAUUUCAGUUACUUUUUUUUAAUUAGUUCCCUUCAUAAUAUUUGUAUCUUCUUUCCUUUCGUCUUGAAAUCCUUUAAAAUACACAAAAGCCUGUGUUCUCUGUUUCCUCUCCAUGUAACAUUUUGUGUCACUGGUAUUUUUAAUCAGGUUUGCUAAAAUUGUAAUGUUGGCAUAUCAAUUUUUGCUUCAGAAAUAUUACAUGGGGCGAUGGGUAUUAUUAAAAGUAAAAAAUGGAAAUAGUUUGGAUUAUGAACUUUACAAGACAAAAGAAAUAUUUGUUCAUUCAGAGUGCACAGGUAAUUUAAUUAAUGUACUGUAUUUAUUAUGUUGACAGUGAAACCCCUUUCUUUCCCAUGCUACAGUUUUUACCAAGCCUGACAAAAAUUUUGGUUGCAGAUUUGCAGAGCAUAUUUUUGAAAAUCAUAAAUCAAAUUGUAAAGGUAGAGAAUAAUGAAAGAAAGAAGCCAUUUUGUGGACAAAUGACUUGUUUAAAAUGUAAAAUGCAUGAAGUUAUGCUGCCACCAUUAAAUUUUGAAAUACAUACAAGUAAAUUGAAUCUUAAAUUAGUUUUGCAGCAUAUCUUAACCAUAAAUUACAAUUGCCAUUAUUCUUACAAUAGAAUGCAAUGUUAAAACAAUUAACCAUAACAAUGAAUAAUAAUUUAUGAAGUAUCCUUGUCAUGCCUUCAGAUGUAUCAUGUCAUGCCAGCAUAUAUUUGUUAAACAUGAUAUACUGGCUUUAUUGAUCUAACUGAAACUUCAUCUUGUUUGUGCUUCUCAUAAAUAUUAAUUCCUUAAUAGUGUUAUUGCAGUGAAUUUAUAUACAAAUAUAAGCAUUGAGGAACCGACAAACAUGGUGCAUGUUUGAUGUUUGAAAAUAACACAUGUUGUUGUGUGUUUUGCCCUUGUAAAGAGCCAAGAAAAAGCAAACCACUGACAUGUAAUAAUAACCCAUGACUCAUAAUGCAAGUAAAGACCAAAGAUUAUACUUUAUUGUGUUUGUAUAAAUAAUAAAAGUAAUAUGAAAUGUACUACAGGUUUAUUCUGUUUCAUAUUAUUUUAGAUUUUCUAAACCUUGUAUGUGAAAGCACUGUACUCUGGGAUGUAAACUUUGGGUGGUUGGUCCAGAAGAUUUCAGUUUAGUUGCAUUUUUUUGUUCCAUUAAAAGAAAAAGAAGACUUAUUGUAAAUAUAUUAGUUGUAUUAAUACUAUUAUUAUUCUAGUCGUUUAUAUUGUGUACAUAUAUCUUCUCAGAAUACAAUACAUGAUCAUUGUAGUAUGUC